ensembl:lncRNA
CAAGACCCAACAGCCUGGCCUAGGGGAGGGAGGGACAAGACCCAACAGCCUGGCCUAGGGGAGGGAGGGACAAGACCCAACAGCCUGGCCUAGUGAAGGUGGGGGAAGUACAACAACGUGUCCUCAUGGAGAGAAGUACAGAACCCAGCCACCUAGCCUAAUAAAAGAGGAAUGAGACCCAUCAACCAGGCUUAAUGGAGGGGUGAGACCCAACAACCAGGCCUAGUGAAGGGCUGGACAAGAUCCAACAAUCUGUCCUGUUGGAGGCAUGAGACCCAUCAACCUAAAAAAUUAGAAGGAGGUAUGAGGAACAACAACCUGGCCUAUUGGAGGGAUGGACAAGACCCAACCAUCUGGUCUAUUGGAGGGACCAGACCCGACAACCUGGCCAAUUGGUGGAAGGGACGUGACCCAGAAACCUAGCUUUGUGGUGGGGGAGAUGAGACCCCAAAACAUGGCCUUGUGGUGGGGGAGAUCAGACCAAACAACCUGGCCAAGUGAAAGGUGGGAAUUGAUCCAACAACCUGACAUUGUGGUAGCAUUGAUGAGGCUCAAUAAAAUGGCCUAAUGGAAUGAGGGAUGAGGCUCAAUAACCAGGACUAGUGGAGCAAGGGACUAGACCCAAAGCUUUGGCCUUAUGGAUUGAGAGGGACACACACUGUGUGAUUACCAACAACCUCCACUGUGUUCUAUGUCUUGUACUGUUAAUUAUUCAUUUUGGAUAAAUGUGCUUUACCCAUAGACAAAACUCAUACUAGCUUGGACAUCGUUAUGGCAUGUCCAGUGGAAUUGUUAUGCAGUCAGUUGGGUCAGACUUUAACUUCAUUGGCUGACCUCUCUUGAAGAGUCCAACCGGAUUCCCAGGAGGUCUCAACCAAUAAACUGUAAUGGAACACACAACUUCCCAUGCUACCCAUUGAGCAGGAUAUACCUCUUUCCCUCUCCGGGGCAGGACCUUGUAUGGGGAGGUUUUGUUAAUUCUUCAAAGAGGCAUAAGGAAUUUGUUUUGAUGUCUCUGUCAGAGCAGGAGACGUUGAUUUAUUGCCUCCAAACCUGCUGCUUUUGCCAAAUGUGCCACAUCGGUAAUCUUGAAACCCAGAUGGGAACUGUUCAACAAGAACGUUGACGAAGAACAUGGUACGGUUCACCUGGGGGGGCUUUGAGAUGCCUCUACUGCACAGAAGAGCCUGACGUGACUACAUUUCCCAUGGGUCUUACCAGCACUAAUUAAUUAUUCCGUGGAAAGAUGAAGUUGGCAUUUUUAGUUAUCUUUUGGAUUGUUGGACCACUGAUCCAAAAAAUGCAUACCAACCUACUGGUGAUUUUACUUGUACAACUAAACUGUGUUGUGGCCUUUUGAAUAUUUUGAGAUGCCUUUCACUUUUUUUAAAUAUUUUUUUAUGUGCAAUAUGUGUUUGUCAGAUUGUCAGAUUUUUUUUUUUAUCAAAGUACCAAUGCUUUGGCACUUGGAUGUUGUUUUGUUGGCGAGUGCAAAGCCAGCAAUCAUCUUCCUGUCUAUGCAAAAUUCUAAUUUAUAAUAUAGUCUUAUGUGUUUCGGAAAUUGCAUACCAAAAUGUGUGUUUCUUAAAUAGCUUUUUUAAAUUGCAAUUUGGAUUGUAUCUCUUUUUUAUAUAGUUUAUAUUCCAUGACAACAAAGGCAUAUUCCCAAACACUUUCAAAUAUUUUCAGAAUUCUGUUUUUGCUGUUAUUCAAGUUCUCAUACUCACAGAUUAAGAAGGGUUUAGUUUCUGUGGGAGUGUGAGGGUGUGUUUGCCCGUGUGCGCUUGUGUGUGACUGACCUUUGCAUGUGUAUAUACAUAUAAGAUGUGUAUAUACAACUGUGUGUGUGUGUGUGUGUGUGUGUGUGUGUGUGUACGCGUGUGUCCAGAAAUUGCUCAAUGAGCCAAAUAAACCGGAAGAUGUCCUUGCAAUGCAUUUUCCACUAGAAAGAAAUGUUCCAUGUAUCGUGAUAACAGCGCUGCGGCUAUGAACUCUCCAGCCAACAUCAAUAGCAGUAUCUCCAUAGAUACGGAACCCCAGUCUGUCUUCUCCUUUCGUCUCUGUCUGACUCCUCCCCACCGACAUUUAAAUGACGUCUGUGCCAAAUGUGUAGUAGAGGCAACACACACUCCGCUAUAGUCCUUUCUCCAUCGCAUUACUCUGAUGCCCUUUGCAGUACCAAUAGGAAGACUGCUAUGGCAAGCCUCAGCAUCCGCUGUCUGGAACCAUAGCAACAGCUCAGAACAGCCAAUGAAACUGGUGAGGCUGUAGCCUACAUCUGUGUACGACCGGCGCAAUGCAAUGAGACCCGGAGUGGAUUAAAAAAACAGCGGAUAAUCUAUAUUUAGAUUAGUCUAGACGAAACAAUGCAAUACAAACACAUUUUUAAAUAUCACGUUUUACUGUGUGCACUUCACAAUUUCGCGUCUGCACUCUUGUGUUAACGCAACGGGUUUCUGGAUAUAUACGUGUGCAUUGCCCACGAUGACGGACGCGGGAUCAAAUUCAGUGAAAUCACUGGAGCAGAGAUUGGAAUUGAACUGGUUACUGAAAUCCGCCCGCUGGCGUUAAGCGGCCACCACGUGAUGGCAGAUACUGUCACAAGGUUCCAACACAGCAUUUUGACUGAGAUACGAUAUGUCUUGUUGCAGUAGUUUACACUAAAGUCUAGUUUCCUGGUGGCUCGGUAUUCUUCGCAUGCAUGCUGUCCGCCCCGUCUCUCAUUUCUGUUGGUCUGCGCGCGUGCCAGGUUUCCUGAGGACACUGGCUAGUGGCCAGCCUGCAUCAAAGCACCAGACUACGAGUAAACCGGGGGUGGGGGGGGGGGGGUCCCUUUUUCCUAUCGCGCUAAGUACUCCUACUCAGCCUAUAUAGGCCCAACCAUCUUUUAUGGGGACUGUAGACCUUCUUGGCGACGUGUUUUCCUGAUAGUAUAGGCUCCCAUAAAUUAUGC